rnacentral:rRNA from 1 species
AACGAACGCUGGCGGCAGGCUUAACACAUGCAAGUCGAACGGUUGUAGCAAUACAGCAGUGGCAGACGGGUGAGUAACACGUGGGAACCUUCCUAGGGGUACGGAACAACUCAGGGAAACUUGAGCUAAUACCGUAUACGUCCGUGAGGAGAAAGAUUUAUCGCCCUUAGACGGGCCCGCGGCGGAUUAGCUAGUUGGUGGGGUAACGGCCUACCAAGGCGACGAUCCGUAGCUGAUCUUAGAGGAUGAUCAGCCACACUGGGACUGAGACACGGACCAGACGCCUACGGGAGGCAGCAGUGGGGAAUCUUGGACAAUGGGCGCAAGCCUGAUCCAGCCAUGCCGCAUGAGUGAAGAAGGUCUUCGGAUUGUAAAGCUCUUUUGCCAGGGACGAUAAUGACGGUACCUGGAGAAUAAGCCCCGGCAAACUUCGUGCCAGCCGCCGCAGUAA